GGUCUAUUAGCUCAGUUGGUUAGAGUGUGGUGCUAAUACAUGUGUAUCGCAACGCCAAGGUCACAGGUUCGACCCCUGUAUGGAUCA